CACGAAAGCGUGGGGAGCAAAUAGGAUUAGAUACCCUAGUAGUCCACGCCGUAAACGAUGAGAACUAGGUGUUGGGGGGAUAACUCAGUGCCGCAGUUAACGCAGUAAGUUCUCCGCCUGGGGAGUAUGCACGCAAGUGUGAAACUCAAAGGAAUUGACGGGGGCCCGCACAAGCGGUGGAGUAUGUGGUUUAAUUCGAAGCAACGCGAAGAACCUUACCAGGCCUUGACAUCCCUUGCAGAGGUAUAGAGAUAUAUCCGAGGUUAUCAAGGAGACAGGUGGUGCAUGGUUGUCGUCAGCUCGUGUCGUGAGAUGUUGGGUUAAGUCCCGCAACGAGCGCAACCCUUGUGAUAUGUUACUAACAUUGAGUUGAGGACUCAUAUCAGACUGCCGGUGACAAACCGGAGGAAGGUGGGGAUGACGUCAAAUCAUCAUGCCCCUUAUGGCCUGGGCUACACACGUACUACAAUGGCGUCUACAAAGAGCGGCAAGCCUGUGAAGGCAAGCGAAUCUCAUAAAGGGCGUCUCAGUUCGGAUUGAAGUCUGCAACCCGACUUCAUGAAGCUGGAAUCGCUAGUAAUCGCGAAUCAGCAUGUCGCGGUGAAUACGUUCUCGGGCCUUGUACACACCGCCCGUCAAACCAUGGGAGUUGGUAAUGCCCGAAGCCGGUGGCAUAACCCUUCGGGGAGUGAGCCGUCGAAGGCAGGACCGAUGACUGGGGUUAAGUCGUAACAAGGUAUCCCUACGGGAACGUGGGGAUG
rnacentral:rRNA from 1 species